GAACGAGGAUGUAUCCUUCGGGAUAUAAGCCGAGUGGCGCAAGGGUGAGUAAUGCAUAGAUUACCUGCCUCUAGGAUAAGGACAACUUUGUGAAAACGAAGCUAAUACUUAAUAAUACAAAAGAAAAUAAUUUUCUUUUGUCAAUGGGAGGGUAGCAAUACCUUUUGCCUAGAGAGGGGUUUAUGUCCUAUCAGCUUGUUGGUGGGGUAAUGGCCUACCAAGGCGAAGACGGGUAGCCGGUCUUAGAGGAUGGUCGGCCACACUGGGACUGAGACACUGCCCAGACUUCUACGGAAGGCUGCAGUCGAGAAUCUUUCGCAAUGCCCGAAAGGGUGACGAAGCGACGCCGCGUGAGUGAGGAAGGCCUUAGGGUUGUAAAGCUCUGUCAGGAGUUAAGAAAUAUAAGUGUGCUAAUACCACGUUUAUUUGACGAAGGCUCCAAAGGAAGCCACGGCUAACUCCGUGCCAGCAGCCGCGGUAAUACAGAGGUGGCAAGCGUUGUUCGGAAUUAUUGGGCGUAAAGAGCACGUAGGUGGGUUUGUAAGUCAGAUGUGAAAGCCUUCUGUUCAACGGAAGAAUUGCAUCUGAAACUGCAAGUCUUGAGUGUAGGAGGGGGGAAUGGAACUUCUGGUGGAGCGGUGAAAUGCGUAGAUAUCAGAAGGAACGCCGGCGGCGAAAGCGAUUCUCUGGCCUAUUACUGACGCUCAGUGUGCGAAAGCUAGGGGAGCAAACGGGAUUAGAUACCCCGGUAGUCCUAGCCGUAAACGAUGGGCACUAAGUAGAGGGAAUUGCCGAUGUUCUCUCUGCCGUAGCUAACGCAUUAAGUGCCCCGCCUGGGGAGUACGGCCGCAAGGCUAAAACUCAAAAGAAUUGACGGGGGCUCGCACAAGCGGUGGAGCAUGUGGCUUAAUUCGAUGCAACGCGAAAAACCUUACCGGGGCUUGACAUGGUAGAAGUAGGAACCCGAAAGGGUAACGAACGGUAUCCAGUCCAUAGCUAUCACAGGUGUUGCAUGGCUGUCGUCAGCUCGUGUCGUGAGACGUUGGGUUAAGUCCCCUAACGAGCGAAACCCUUGUUUUUAGUUACCAGCGGGUUAUGCCGGGUACUCUAGAAAGACUGCCGUCGUCAAGACGGAGGAAGGUGGGGAUGACGUCAAGUCAUCAUGGCCCUUAUGCCCCGGGCUGCACACGUGCUACAAUGGUCGCUACAAACGGAAGCGAAGCCGAGAGGUGAAACGAAUCCUAAAAAGCCGAUCUCAGUUCGGAUUGGAGGCUGAAAUUCGCCUCCAUGAAGUUGGAAUCGCUAGUAAUCGCGGAUCAGCAAUGCCGCGGUGAAUAUGUUCCCGAGCCUUGUACACACCGCCCGUCAAGCCACCCAAGCAGGAUGCACCCGAAAACAUUAUAUCUAACCAGGGCAACUUGGAGGAAAGUGUUGAAGGAGUGUUUUGUGA
rnacentral:rRNA from 1 species